CUGACGGGUAGUGUUUACAGCCGAAACGUCUCUCCGUUUAACGUUUCAGGUGUCUCUUCAAUCUACCUGUCUCAUUAUAAUCAACAAGUUUGGCUGUAUGAUGUUAUUUCUUUUCCUUGUGAGUGGUUGGCUAGUUAUAACACAGUGUUUUAACCAUGACAAAGGUGUCCUGUUGGAUCCAAGUAGUAGUGACCAGUAUUUGAAUCUGUAUACUCUCUACUUUUAAACUAACUUUCUUGUCCGCCUCUAGGUGUCCUGUUGGAUCCAAGUAGUAGUGACCAGUAUUUGAAUCUGUAUACUCUCCAACCCUUUCAUCGCACUUUGAUGCAACUACAUCCUGGUUACAAAAUAGGUUUGUUUACGUUUUUUUACCCACUGCCGUUUACUGACAUCAAACGGAAACCGAUCUCUCGUGACUUUGGGAUCGGUUCUGAGUUUCUUGGCAAACGAUCGGUGUAUAAACCAGCUGGUAGCUUAAUGGGUUCCGAAAUAUUCGACAAAAAGAUGGGCUCUGAGUUUCUGGGAAAGCAGACGGAUGACUUUGAAAACCAAAUUAAAGACGAAGUAGUUAAAACAACUCAAAACAAGCGGCUGAGCUCAACAUUUUUGGGAGAACGUUUGAAGGAUGUUGACAAUAAAUUCAUCUACAUCGGCUCCUCAUCAGAUCUCCAAAACAAACGGAUGGGGUCAAAAUUUUUGGCCAGAAAAAGACGAGAACUACAUCAAGCAACAUCAAGCCAGAAGUUCCCGCCAGAGGGUGUUGCGUUUAUAUAAGAUUCACGUGGAUAUUUACCACACAGCUCAUGCCUAAAGUCAGAGUACUAAAUUUAAUUAUGACAGGAUAAACCCUAUUAUAGAUAAUUCAUGAAGAUUGGAUUAAUAAAUAUAAUUAUAAAAGAAUAAAUCCUAUUGUAGAUCAUCCAUGAAUAUUGGAUUAAUAAACAUAAUUAUAA